UACCAGCUCUCCGAGUGGUAGGGAUGAUUAUUGGGCUUAAAGCGUCCGUAGCCGGCUUAGCAAGUCUCCUGUUAAACUCAGCGACUUAAUCGUUGAAUCGCGGGAGAUACUACUAGGCUAGGAGGCGGGAGAGGUCGACGGUACUUCCGGGGUAGGGGUGAAAUCCUAUAAUUCCGGGAGGACCACCAGUGGCGAAGGCUGUCGACUAGAACGCGCUCGACGGUGAGGGACGAAAGCUGGGGGAGCGAACCGGAUUAGAUACCCGGGUAGUCCCAGCUGUAAACGAUGCGGGCUAGGUGUUGGAAUGGCUACGUGCCAUUUCAGUGCCGCAGGGAAGCCAUUAAGCCCGCCGCCUGGGGAGUACGGCCGCAAGGCUGAAACUUAAAGGAAUUGGGCGGGGAGCACCACAAGGCGUGAAGCUUGCGGUUC
rnacentral:rRNA from 1 species